UGGGGGAUAUUGCACAAUGGGCGAAAGCCUGAUGCAGCGACGCCGCGUGGGGGAUGAAGCCCUUCGGGUUGUAAACUUCUUUUGCUCUGAACAAGGCAUGCUAAUGGGUGUGUUGAGUGUAGGGGUUGAUUAGCGCCGGCUAACUACGUGCCAGCAGCCGCGGUAAUACGUAGGGCGCGAGCGUUGUCCGGAAUUAUUGGGCGUAAAGGGCUUGUAGGUGGCUGGUUGCGUCUGUCGUGAAAGCUCAUGGCUUAACUGUGGGUUUGCGGUGGGUACGGGCUGGCUUGAGUGCAGUAGGGGAGGCUGGAAUUCCUGGUGUAGCGGUGGAAUGCGCAGAUAUCAGGAGGAAUACCGGUGGCGAAGGCGGGUCUCUGGGCUGUUACUGACACUGAGGAGCGAAAGCAUGGGGGGCGAACAGG
rnacentral:rRNA from 1 species